CACGUAGGGUGCGAGCGUUGUCCGGAAUUAUUGGGCGUAAAGAGCUCGUAGGCGGUGUGUCGCGUCGGCCGUGAAAACCUGCAGCUUAACUGUGGGCUUGCGGUCGAUACGGGCAUCACUGGAGUUCGGCAGGGGAGACUGGAAUUCCUGGUGUAGCGGUGAAAUGCGCAGAUAUCAGGAGGAACACCGGUGGCGAAGGCGGGACUCUGGGCCGAUACUGACGCUGAGGAGCGAAAGCGUGGGGAGCAAACGGG
rnacentral:rRNA from 1 species